UGGGAGAGGGAGGAGUUGGUGGUGAGGGGGUGGGGUUGGGUUGGAAGUGACCAAAAUGGGUUGGAAUUGGUAAAAAAUGGGUUGGAAUUGGUAAAAAUGGGUUGGAAGAGAGAAAAAGGGGUUGGAAUUGGUAAAAAUGGGUUGGAACUGGUGAAAAUGGGUUGGAAGAGAGAAAAAGGGGUUGGAGGAGACAAAAAUGGGUUGGAAGAGACAAAAAAAGGGUUGGAAUUGGUAAAAAAUGGGUUGGAAUUGGAAAAAUGGGUUGGAAGAGAGAAAAAGGGGUUGGAAGAGAGAAAAAUGGGUUGGAAUUGGUAAAAAAUGGGUUGGAAGAGAGAAAAAUGGGUUGGAAUUGGUAAAAAAUGGGUUGGAAUUGGUAAAAAAUGGGUUGGAAUUGGUAAAAAAUGGGUUGGAAGAGACGAAAAUGGGUUGGAAUUGGCAAAAAAUGGGUUGGAAUUGGUAAAAAAUGGGUUGGAAGAGAGAAAAAUGGGUUGGAAGAGAGAAAAAUGGGUUGGAAGAGAGAAAAAGGGGUUGGAAUUGGUAAAAAUGGGUUGGAAUUGGUAAAAAAUGGAUUGGAAUUGGUAAAAAAUGGGUUGGAAUUGGAAAAAUGGGUUGGAGGAGAGAAAAAUGGGUUGGAAGAGACAAAAAUGGGUUGGAAUUGGAAAAAUGGGUUGGAGGAGAGAAAAACGGGUUGGAAGUGACCAAAAAUGGGGUAGAAGAGACCAAAAAUGGGUUGAAAGAGACCAAAAUGGGUUGGGAGAGACAAAAAUGGGUUGGAAAAGACCAAAAAUGGGUUGGGAGAGAGAAAAAUGGGUUGGAAGAGACAAAAAUGGGUUGGAAUUGGUAAAAAUGGGUUGGAAGAGACCAAAAUGGGUUGGAAGUGACAAAAAUGGAAUGGAAUUGGUAAAAAUGGGUUGGAAGAGACAAAGAUGGGUUGGAAGUGACAAAAAUGGGUUGGGAGAGACCAAAAUGGGUUGGAAGAGACCAAAACGGGUUGGAAGAGACCAAAAAUGGGUUGGAAUUGGAAAAAUGGGUUGGAGGAGAGAAAAAUGGGUUGGAAGUGACCAAAAAAGGGUUGGGUGAGACCAAAAUGGGUUGGAAGAGACCAAAUUGGGUUGGAAGUGACAAAGAUGGGUUGGAAUUGGUAAAAAUGGCUUGGAAGAGAGAAAAAUGGGGUAGAAGAGACCAAAAAUGGGUUGGGAGAGACAAAAAAUGGGUUGGGAGAGACAAAAAUUGGUGGUGAGGAAACAGGAUUGGCUUGGAGCCAUCAAGAAUUGGUUGAGAGUGACAAAAAUGGGUUGGAAGAGACAAAGGUUGGUGGGAAAGUGACAAAAGUUGGUGGUGAGUGAAUGGAAUUGGCUUGGAACCAUCAAAAAUGGGUUGGAAGUGACAAAAUGGGUUGGGAGAGACCAAAAUGGGUUGGAAGAGACCAAAGUUGGGGUGGAAUUGGUGAAAAUGGAUUGGAAUUGGCAAAAAUGGGUUGGAAGAGACCAAAAAUGGGUUGGAAGAGCCAAAAAAUGGGUUGGAGGAGAGAAAAAUGGGUGGGAAGGAGACAAAAAUGGGGUAGAAGAGACCAGAAAUGGGUUGGAAGAGACCAAAAAUGGGGUAGAAGAGGCAAAAAUGGGUGAGAAGAGACAAAGGUUGGUGGGAAAGUGACAAAAGUUGGUGGUGAGGGAAUGGAGUUGGGUUGGAACCAUCAAAAAUGGGGUGGAAGGGACAAAAAUGGGGUGGAAGGGACAAAAAUGGGUUGGAAGAGACAAAAAUGGGUUGGGAGAGACCAAAGUUGGUGCGGACCAGAUGGAGUUGGCUUGGAACCAUCAAAAAUGGGUGAGAAGAGACAAAGGUUGGUGGGAGAGUGACAAAAGUUGGUGGUGAGGAAAUGGAGUUGGGUUGGAAGCAUCAAAAAUGGGUUGGGAGAGACCAAAAUGGGGUGGAAUUGGUAAAAAUGGGUUGAAAGUGACAAAAAAUGGGUUGGGAGAGAUCAAAAUGGGUUGGAAGAGACAAAAAAGGGUUCGAGGAGAGAAAAAUGGGUUGGAAGAGACAAAGAUGGGGUGGAAUUGGUAAAAAUGGCUUGGAGGAGAGAAAAAUGGGUUGGAAGAGACCAAAAAUGGGUUGGAAGUGACAAAGAUGGGUUGGAAUUGGAAAAAUGGGUUGGAAGUGACAAAAAUGGGUUGGGAUUGGUAAAGAUGGGUUGGAAGAGACCAAGAAUGGGUUGGAAGAGACGAAAAAGGGGUUGGAAUUGGUAAAAAUGGGUUGGAAUUGGAAAAAUGGGUUGGAAGAGACAAAGAUGGGUUGGAAGAGAGAAAAAUGGGUUGGAAGAGAGAAAAACGGGUUGGAAGAGACAAAAAUGGGGUAGAAUAGACCAAAAAUGGGUUGGGAGAGAGAAAAAUGGGUUGGAAGAGACAAAGGUUGGUGGGAAAGUGACAAAAGUUGGUGGUGAGUGAAUGGAAUUGGCUUGGAACCAUCAAAAAUGGGUUGGAAGGGACAAAAAUGGGGUGGAAGGGACAAAGAUGGGGUGGAAUUGGCAAAAAUGGGUUGGAAGAGACCAAAAAUAGGUUGGAAGAGCCAAAAAUGGGUUGGAAUUGGAAAAAUGGGUUGGAGGAGAGAAAAAUGGGUGGGAAAGAGACAAAAAUGGGGUAGAAGAGACCAGAAAUGGGUUGGAAGAGACCAAAAUGGGUUGGAAGAGACCAAAAAUGGGGUAGAAGAGGCAAAAAUGGGUUGGAAGAGACAUAGGCUGGUGGGAAAGUGACAAAAGUUGGUGGUGAGCAAAUGGAGUUGGGUUGGAACCAUCAAAAAUGGGUUGGAAGAGACAAAAAUGGGUUGGGAGAGACCAAAGUUGGUGGGGACCAGAUGGAGUUGGCUUGGAACCAUCAAAAAUGGGUGAGAAGAGACAAAGGUUGGUGGGAAAGUGACAAAAGUUGGUGGUGAGGGAAUGGAGUUGGGUUGGAAGCAUCAAAAAUGGGUUGGGAGAGACCAAAAUGGGUUGGAAUUGGUAAAAAUGGGUUGAAAGUGACAAAAAAUGGGUUGGGAGAGACCAAAAUGGGUUGGAAGAGACAAAAAAGGGUUCGAGGAGAGAAAAAUGGGUUGGAAGAGACAAAGAUGGGGUGGAAUUGGUACAAAUGGCUUGGAGGAGAGAAAAAUGGGUUGGAAGAGAGAAAAACGGGUUGGAAGAGACAAAAAUGGGGUAGAAGAGACCAAAAAUGGGUUGGAAGAGACCAAAAUGGGUUGGAAGAGACAAAAAUGGGUUGGAAUUGGUAAAAAUGGGUUGGAAUUGGUAAAAAAUGGGUUGGGAGAGAGAAAAAGGGGUUGGAAGUGACCAAAAAGGCUUGGAAUUGGUAAAAAUGGGUUGGAAGAGAGAAAAAGGGGUUGGAAGAGAGAAAAAGGGGUUGGAAUUGGUAAAAAUGGGUUGGAAGAGACAAAGAUGGGUUGGAAUUGGAAAAAUGGGUUGGAGGAGACAAAAAUGGGUUGGAAUUGGUAAAAAUGGGUUGGAGGAGAGAAAAAUGGGUUGGAAGAGAGAAAAAUGGGUUGGAAGAGAGAAAAAUGGGUUGGAAGAGAGAAAAAGGGGUGGGAAUUGGUAAAAAUGGGUUGGAAGAGACCAAAAUGGGUUGGAAGAGACCAAAA